UAAUACGUAGGUGGCAAGCGUUGUCCGGAUUUACUGGGCGUAAAGAAUGCGUAGGCGGAUACUUAAGUCAGAUGUGAAAUACCCGAGCUCAACUUGGGUGCUGCAUUUGAAACUGGGUAUCUAGAGUGCGGGAGAGGUAAGUGGAAUUCCUAGUGUAGCGGUGAAAUGCGUAGAGAUUAGGAAGAACACCAGUGGCGAAGGCGACUUACUGGACCGUAACUGACGCUGAGGCAUGAAAGCGUGGGGAGCAAACAGG
rnacentral:rRNA from 1 species